GACGAACGCUGGCGGCGUGCUUAACACAUGCAGGUCGAACGGAAAGGCCCUGCUUUUGUGGGGUGCUCGAGUGGCGAACGGGUGAGUAACACGUGAGUAACCUGCCCUUGACUUUGGGAUAACUUCAGGAAACUGGGGCUAAUACCGGAUAGGAGCUCCUGCUGCAUGGUGGGGGUUGGAAAGUUUCGGCGGUUGGGGAUGGACUCGCGGCUGAUCAGCUUGUUGGUGGGGUAGUGGCUUACCAAGGCUUUGACGGGUAGCCGGCCUGAGAGGGUGACCGGCCACAUUGGGACUGAGAUACGGCCCAGACUCCUACGGGAGGCAGCAGUGGGGAAUAUUGCACAAUGGGCGGAAGCCUGAUGCAGCAACGCCGCGUGCGGGAUGACGGCCUUCGGGUUGUAAACCGCUUUCGCCUGUGACGAAGCGUGAGUGACGGUAAUGGGUAAAGAAGCACCGGCUAACUACGUG
rnacentral:rRNA from 1 species